rnacentral:rRNA from 1 species
GACGAACGCUGGCGACGUGCUUAACACAUGCAAGUCGAACGGAAAGGCCCUGCUUUUGUGGGGUGCUCGAGUGGCGAACGGGUGAGUAACACGUGAGUAACCUGCCCUUGACUUUGGGAUAACUUCAGGAAACUGGGGCUAAUACCGGAUAGGAGCUCCUGCUGCAUGGUGGGGGUUGGAAAGUUUCGGCGGUUGGGGAUGGACUCGCGGCUUAUCAGCUUGUUGGUGGGGUAGUGGCUUACCAAGGCUUUGACGGGUAGCCGGCCUGAGAGGGUGACCGGCCACAUUGGGACUGAGAUACGGCCCAGACUCCUACGGGAGGCAGCAGGGGGGAAUAUUGCACAAUGGGCGGAAGCCUGAUGCAGCAACGCCGCGUGCGGGAUGACGGCCUUCGGGUUGUAAACCGCUUUCGCCUGUGACGAAGCGUGAGUGACGGUAAUGGGUAAAGAAGCACCGGCUAACUACGUG